rnacentral:rRNA from 1 species
CUGAAGGGCGUUUGGUGGAUGCCUUGGCGCAUAGAGGCGAUGAAGGACGUGGCACGCUGCGAUAAGCCCCGGGGAGCCGUGAGCAGGCUUUGAUCCGGGGAUCUCCGAAUGGGGAAACCCACCUUGGAAGUCAGAAAUCAGAGUUCGGGUUGCGAUCACUUGUGAUUGUGACCCGGGUUCCGGUUUCUGGCUUCCGUAAAAGGUAUCUUGACCUGAAUACAUAGGGUCAAGAAGCGAACCCGGUGAACUGAAACAUCUCAGUAACCGGAGGAAAGGACAUCAACCGAGACUCCCCUAGUAGUGGCGAGCGAACGGGGACCAGGCCAGUGCU